AUACCACUAUUAUACCUGCUUUACAGAUAAGGAAAUUGGGUCUCAGAGAUGUUAAAUGACUGGCCUGUGAUGACACAACUAGAAAGGGGCAGAACAUCCCAAUGUAGGCUGAUGCCUGAACCAGGACACUUAAUCUGCAUGCUGUCCUCCCUCUGCAGACACAAUGGCAAUGAAUGGACCACACCAAAUCUACAGUGAAUAUGCAGCAAGAGACCUGAGCCAAGUAACCCCAGCACAGUCUGAGAUGUGCAAGGCAGAAGCAAAUUUAAGGAGAAUGAAACGGAAAGCAAGGCCCAAUUAAAAUCCAAAUGAACAGGAAGCACGAUGCAAAAGCAAACUUGGAAAAAGCCAAGGCGAGAGAGGAACACUUUGGAAGAAGCACAGUUAUGGCAAAGGAGCUAUCCUGUACCAACACGAAGGAGAGAGUGGUAAAGGACCCCACAGAAAUGGAGGGAAUGAUAUUGACACAAAAAUGGCAACAAGAUCUAACUCCAGCGUCAAACUGAAGUAACAGCAGCUGCAGCAACUAAGGUAAGCCACCAGGAGUUGGAGUUGGGAUAACCAAAGGUGGCUUAUAGCCGGGGAACUUAAAAACCACCAUAGAGAAUUCAAGAACAAUGUUGGCAUCCCAAGGGAAAGGAGAGACUUAGGGAACAU
rnacentral:lncRNA from 1 species